rnacentral:lncRNA from 1 species
AAGAGUGUUUAUUCAUAAAGCAGAGCAAGAGAAAUAGUUUGAUCGAUGCUAAUAGGUAACAGAUAAAUGACAAUCUUACAAGGUGGAUGACUCGUCAUAGACACAUCCAGAUUUUCAAAUCAAGGUUUAACAGUCUCCAAAACGUGGAAGAUCUCCAAAAGAGAGGCAGAGUUCCUUGGAUCAUCAGAACACAGGCAUACCAAGUCUUAGAGAGAAACUAAAUACGAUACAUGGAUCAUAUGUAUAGACGAGCUGAGGUCAAAAAUACUGAUGCACAGUGAGACUACAUCGAUGGUUCACUAAGCUGCUCCUAUUGGCAUUUAAUCAACCAACUGGUCUACCAUCAAGAUAGACCUCACCACCAUGAAGUACAAGCCCGCUCAAGAGGAGGUUCCUGACGCAGAGUCGCGACCUCAAGCACCUCACCACCACGCCAAAACCCAUCCAUCAGCACAAUCAUGUUUGACGUUGGGCUGCCUGUAACAAUGAGAAGAACGUUAUGAUUCUCCAACGCAAGAGUUUCCAAGAAUAGGAAAAUAAAUUUUACAUUGUCUCAGAUUCAGAUGACCUCCGUAAAUCAGAAGAACAUAUUAAUUAGAUGUACCUAACACACACAUGUACAUGAAGAUAGGAUUGAUAGAUUUUAUGUCAAUAUCUAAUCUCUAACCAUCUUCGAGACCUCUCUUGGAACACUAUCCCCCAUGGUGCGCAACCACCACCAUUCAGCAAUUCAUCAAAUGCUAGAUGCCUUUUAAAUGCCACUCUUUCGCAAUCCCUGCAAACAACAUUGCAGAGACCACAAAAAUCUUUGGAAAAAUCUGAUACAAUAUGUAUUUGUUGUUUAGUUACUUUGCUAAUUUAGAGCCUAAUGACAGUAGUUUUUUCUUUAGAAAAUAAUAACAACGACAAGAGCGGUAAGGUCAUACAUGUGCGCACGAAGACUUGUCUUCGUAGCCUGAUUUGGUAAUGCAAGUAUGACACUUGCAUGAGUUCCAAGCAUUGGUGCAUGGUAUUGGAGUUAGAUGGCUGAUCUAGAAUCAUUUACAUGAUUUGAGAAAUCUUCCUAAUAAUUUUUUAUGUGCAGAAUUCAAUGAAGUUUUUUAGACAGGUUGAUGACUCAUGCAAACUUAAUUAUCUUAAGUUUCAAACAAUUAAUUCUUUGUAUCUCCUGAACAUACAAAAAGAACUAGCCAUUGGCAGUCAAAGGAGCAUAGACAAGUGUAAUCAGAGGGAUUAAAUUGUUACCUAAUCAUAGAUUGUUCUUUAUUCUUCAUCCUUCAAAGUCUACAGAGAAGAGGCGGAAUUGUAUGUAUCAGUACUAUUCAUAGCUAUACAUCCACAAAUUGGUAACACACGAAGAGUACAGUUCACCGAGCUAAAUUUAGGCAUUGCAAAAGCUAUUGGUAUCACUCAAACACCAGAAUAUUAGGUAGAAAGUAAAGUUGGUAUUUGAUUCAUGCCAUCAAAAUAGUAAAACUACUGCAAAAUGCAAAAGAGAAAUGGUCUGAGUUGUGCAUGCCUACUGAUUGCAGAAUAAGACAAAGCCAUAACCUCUGGAGUGUCCAGUUUUAUUAUCCCACAUGACUCAAGCAUCCCUGAUCAUAAAUGGGACACAUGAACAACUGAAAAGCUACAUUCACACACAAAUUUCUCCAUCUAGGUUAUAUUUCACUCUCUCCUAACCAAUCACAACUCAGCCGCUCAGGACACUGUUCCUAUCCUAUGUGGACAUCGCAAGAGGGGGCGGCUUGAGCACCUCAGCAUGUCCUAUGCAGUCAUUUUCACACGUUCACACACAUUUGUCUUCUACUAUGACGUUAUGGCUUCCUAGUACAAGAUGGAAGUUUGGCUUAUAAACAAAAAACAAGUUUUACUGGCUUGCAUAGAAAAAAUUUAAACAAUAUAAUAAAAUGAAUAUGUGAAAUGAAACAACAUUUUCCAUGUCAUUCAGAUCGAAGAAAGACUUGGUCUAGAAUUAUGAGGAACAUUCACUUAGAGAAAAGUCUACUACAGCCAAGAAAGGGAGAAAGAUAAAUUAGAAACUUUCAGUUGAUUGUUUAUUUUCCAUCAAGGAAUCCAAUUUAGCCCCUCAAAGACAAUUAGCCAGAAACUCAUGUGUGUGUGUAUAGGAAAAAUCCAUCCUACCACCCAGUGGUAGUUACCAUUAAAUCAAUUCAAUACUAUAAAAAUUAGUGAUAGAAACUCCUCUACAUAUCUUGUGCAUACUUGUAUGCAAUUAGCAUCUGUAAGCAUGCAUUGAGAAAGUUUUUCGUAGCAAAAUUUGAGCCGAAUAUGAAAUGAUUAGGAUCAAUGCCAACAAACUAAGCUUAAUAUUGCUCAGUUUUCUACCACUUCAUGAGGCUUGGCAUCCCACUUGAAGGGAAACUAAAAGGUACAUAAGACAUAUAGUUUUCUGCCACUUCACGAGGCUUUUCAUUAUCUGUUUCGUGCAUUCAGGUCCCCCCCUUCCAUGGCUAUGUCAUGGUGUUUUUUAUCACAUCCAUUGAUCAAAGUACAAUAUCCCUGUGACAAAUGUUUUGCACAUUUCAAGCUGAAGAAAAGUUGGAUGGAAGAAAAUAGAAGAUGGCUUUUCAUUCUGUUUGAAAAGAUAGAAUAAAUAUAAUUUACAAAUUCACAGUUCUAUAUCCAAUGAGAAAGAAGCCUCGGUUUUAAGGAGACAUCAACACUAUCUAGCAAAAUAAUCAACUAAUUUGUCUCUUGUUAGGAGGAUGAUCUCAAAAUACAUAUCACAACAGUUUGAACUAUCACAGCUGACCGUCCACUCUAAAAAACACAUAAAUAUAAGUUAGUACAUAUAAAUUAAUCAGCACAAAGGAUAAUACUCCCUCUGUAACUAAUAUAAGACGUUUUAGAUCACUGAAUCUAAAACGUCUUAUAUUAGUUGCUGUAUUUUAGACCAAAUAAGAAUAUAUAUUAUUAUUUGUAGCUUAGACAUGUCAUAAUGCGGCUUCUUUUAUAGUCCUUAUGACAAAGUCAAACUAUUUUAAGGAAUGAUUAAUCAAUAUGUUUCUUUUAUAGCCAGAAAUAGUGGUUAGCACUUCUAUUGAACAAAUACUAAUGUUAUCGUCUGUAUGAAAACCAAAAAGGAACAUCAUCAUACCUUAACAUCCGGUGACUAAUGAUCUAGUGUCGUCAAAGCAAAUGGAAUUAUUAACCACCACAACUCGCCAAGCUUCGGGUAGUUAACCUAAAACAAUCGAAGAAGCAACUGGAGUGAAAACCUUUAAUGCUGAAAUGGCUCCACAUUACUGAUUAUGCUUCCGGCGUUGUUACAAGUAUUUACUGCAGCACAUUUUCUUAUUAUCAUAGUAAUUGUCCAAUCAAAUAUUUUUAUUCAGUCAAGCAGGUCUCAAAUUUUCCUAAAUGAACUACUACUCCUAAAAACAAUAGCUUUAUGACACUAAUUAAUCACCAGCUGUUAGUGGCAGAUUAUAGAUAAAACUGAAAGCACAAGUGGCAUGGUGCGCAUCAAUCAAUUCAUCGAACGUGAUCUCGGGCAGCUAGUGCAUCAUGCCAUUUGAUUAUACUUGUUUCAAAUGUACUCCCUCCGUCCUGAAUUACUUGUCGCUCAAACGGAUCUAUUUUUUAGUGCUAAAUACAUCCGUUUGGGCGACAAGUAGUUUGGGACAGAGGGAGUAUGUUUUUCUUCAAAUAAUCUGGGUGCCGAUUUCUGUCCUCAGUAGUUAUGUAUGCUCUUGUGUCUAAGUGGCCGCGUCUGAACUACAUUCUCACUCGAUGUGUGAAAUGAGGCAUCCCAUAAUUUGCUUCAUAAUUUUUGUUUUGCUAAUUAACCCAUACGAAACAUCAUGAAUGUUGAUUUUUUUUGCAUAAACUGGUAAAACUUAAGCUAGUUUGACUUAGGACCAAACUAAAAAGAACAUCCUAUUUGAGGAAGGAGAGGGAAUUUAUUAUAUGACACAAGAACACCUACCUGAAUGUUUAUAUAGUUGAAGGAGGUAAAAGGAUAACACCACAUGCCACACAAAGAAUAUUCAAUCACGGGUGGGAUGGUGUGGGUGGCGUGAGGAACUAAUCUAAUCAAUAAAGAGGCUAUUCUAAUCAAAUCUAAUAAAGAAAAGAACAAGAGGGACAGGGAGAAGAAGAUAGCACAUACAUGAACUGGACCUAAGGUCCGGGCCGCAGGGGUUGGGGUCAGCGGGCCGCAGGCUGCCGAUCUAUUGCCCCGUCGUGGCGUCCAGCCACCUUGAACUCCAGCAGCGUCUCACCUGAGGGAAGGACAAGCAUCAGCCAUGGAGAUUCAGAGAUUUAUUGAGGAGAGGAAUUGAAGACUGGACGGGGUGAGCGGACCUCCACCCACGACUUCCUUGUCAAUGGCAAACUCGAGGGCACCAGCCCGCCCUGCCCCACCCCCAGCAACAACUCAC